rnacentral:lncRNA from 1 species
CAUUAAGGUUGAAGAAAGCCGGCCAAUAUCCAAGCAUAUUUUUGAGGCUAUCAUCUAUUUGGUAAUUCCGAUCCUUUUUAAAUUUUUUUGUGCUUUUUGUCAACUUAAUUGUUAAAAAGCAUACAAGUUUUAAUUUAAGAUCAAUGGUUCAUUUAUUAGUAAUUGAGGUUUAAAUUUGUUAUAAGAAUUACUAGGAUUUGAUUUAGGAUUUAGGAUUUGGUUUAGGAUUUGAUUUAGGAUUAGGAUUUGGUUAGGAUUUGGUUUAGGAUUAGGAUUUGGUUAGGAUUUGAUUUAGGAUUAGAAUUUGAUUAGAAUUUGAUUUAGGAUUUAGGAUUUGAUUUAGGAUUUAGGAUUUGAUUUAAGAUUAGAAUUUGAUUUACGAUUUAGGAUUUGAUUUAGGAUUGGUUAGGAUUUUAUUUAGGGUUAGAAUUUGGUUAGGGUUUGAUUUAGGUUUAGAAUUUGGUUUAGGAUUUAGGAUUUGAUUAGGAUUUGAUUUAGGAUUAGGAUUUGAUUAGGAUUUGGUUUAGAGUUUAAGAUUUGGUUAGGAUUUGAUUUAAGGUUAGGAUUUGAUUAAGAUUUGAUUUAGGAUUUAGGAUUUGAUUUAGGGUUGGUUAAGGUUUGAUUUAGGAUUUAGGAUUUAGUUUAGGAUUUAGGAUUUGAUUUAGGAUUUAGGGUUUGAUUUAGGAUUUAGGGUUUGAUUUAGGAUUUAGGGUUUGAUUUAGGAUUUAAGAUUUGAUUAGGAUUUGAUUAGGAUUUGAUUUAGAGUUUAAGAUUUUAUUUGAGUUUGUUUAAGAUUUAAGAUUUAGUUAAUUUUUGGCCUAAAUUUUGAAUGAAGUUCAAUAGGAUUUCAACUAGGAUUAAAUUAAGAUUGAAUUGAGAUAUAUUUGAGAUAUGUUUGUAAUCAUUUUAAUAUUUCUUUAAGAUUUCUUAUUUUUUCUUUGUAAUUCUUUUGAGGUUUCUCUGAAUUUGAUUAAAGCUUGUUUAGCAUUAUUAGUGUUCUAUUAGAAUUAUGAUUUUGUUGUAGCAAUUUCUAUUCUACUUUCCACAGGUAGGUUCCCAGAGCAUUCUUAAGCAAGACUUCAUGUAUUACGGCAAUAGAAUAAGAUUAGUGAUAUAAAAUAGAGCAAACAUAGGUAGUGGUGAUAAUUUUAAAAGAGAU